GGCGAACGCUGGCGGCGGGCUUAACACAUGCAAGUCGAACGGCAAGGCCCUGCUUUUGUGGGCUUCUCGGUUGGCGAACGGGUGCGUAACACGUGAGUAACCUGCUCUUGACUUUGGGAUAACUUCAGGAAACUGGGGCUAAUACCGUAUAGCAUCUCCUGCUGCAUGGUGGGGGUUGGAACGUUUCGGCGGUUGGGGAUGGACUCGCGGCUGAUCAGCUUGUUGGUGGGGGAGUGGCUUGCCAAGCGUUUGACGGGUCGCCGGCCCGGGAGGGGGAACGGCCACAUUGGUACUGCGAUACGGACCAGUGUCCAACGGGAGGCAGCGGGGGGGAAUCUUGCACAAUGGGACGAAGUCGGAUGAAGAGACGCUCGGUGUGUGAAGCCGGCCUGCUGGUUGAAAAACGCAGCAGCUUGUUACGACGCGUGAGUGACGGUAACGGGUAAAUAAGCACCGGCUAACUACGUG
rnacentral:rRNA from 1 species